rnacentral:tRNA from 1 species
AAUGAAGUGCCUGAAAUUAAAGGGUUAUUUUGAUAGAAUAAAUUAUGUAAAUCGUUACCUUCAUUA